UCUCCUACGGGAGGCAGCAGUGGGGAAUAUUGCACAAUGGGGGGAACCCUGAUGCAGCGACGCCGCGUGGGUGAAGAAGUCAUUCGUGACGUAAAGCCCUAUCAGCAGGGAAGAAAAUGACGGUACCUGACUAAGAAGCCCCGGCUAACUACGUGCCAGCAGCCGCGGUAAUACGUAGGGGGCAAGCGUUAUCCGGAUUUACUGGGUGUAAAGGGAGCGUAGACGGCAUUGCAAGUCCGGAGUGAAAGCCCACGGCCCAACCGUGGGACUGCUCUGGAAACUGUAGAGCUGGAGUGCGGGAGGGG
rnacentral:rRNA from 1 species